ensembl:lncRNA
ACCACUAGAAAUUGGAAUGUGUCGCUUUGCUAAACCUAUAUUCCGACUCUGGAGUUUUAGAUGGGUGAAUCCUUAAUUAGCCUCACUGAGACAGGAAGCAUCACAGACUGACAACUAUUCAGGAGAAAUGAUUGGAAAGAAAGCAACACUGAAUAGGCUACAAGAAAAAAAAAGGAGAAGGUGAAGACAGCAGACUGCAGGAGCAUGAGUUGCAUUCCUGACCCUGGCUUUAGUCGUAAGAUGGAGAGGAAUGUGUGAGGACCCACGCACACACACCAAAGCUUCAGCAGGUGAAGAAUCUGGAAAUCCAGCGUCUAUGUAGUUCAUGACUGACAUCUCAAUGAAGAUGGAGGGGGGAAGGGGUAUGAGGUCAGAUGAGCUGAACUGAAAGGGUUGAUACGGAAAGGCGUUUUGAUAUGGAUGGCUAUCAAGUGUCAGUUUGACAUGGAGGAAAAAGGAAAAGCAAAUUAGGGAACAUUUGUUACGGCUUUGGUAAAAAUAGGCAGAGAAAGAAGGGACUAUGGGAG